rnacentral:rRNA from 1 species
AGAGUGAACGCUGGCGGCGGGCCUAACACAUGCAAGUCGAACGGCAGCACAGGGGAGCUUGCUCCCUGGGUGGCGAGUGGCGGACGGGUGAGGACAACGUCGGAAUCUGCCUUUUUGUGGGGGAUAACGUAGGGAAACUUACGCUAAUACCGCAUACGACCCCAGGCCGGGAGGUUUGGGGUGAAAGCGGAGGACCUUCGGGCUUCGCGCAGAAAGAUGAGCCGACGUCGGAUUAGCUAGUUGGUGGGGUAAAGGCCCACCAAGGCGACGAUCCGUAGCUGGUCUGAGAGGAUGAUCAGCCACACUGGAACUGAGACACGGUCCAGACCUCCUACGGGAGGCAGCAGUGGGGAAUAUUGGACAAGUGGGCGCGAAGCCUGAUCCAGCCAUGCCGCGUGUGUGAAGAAGGCCGUUGGUAGUAAAGCUACGUUUUGUAGGGAAGAAAGCUAGUACCGGUUAAGUACCCGGUUAGUUACGU